AGCUCGAUCGGAUCGAUGGCCCGCGUGACCAACAGAUAGUCGCGCAGUGCGAUACCGUGCCGGUUCUC
rnacentral:sRNA from 1 species